CUUGUCCUAUAGACGUGGACGGGGUGUCUCUUUGGGGUAGCUGUGUCUUCCUUCGUCUCCCAGCCACGUGACCCCCCUGAGACGCUUCACACCAGGUCUGCAGAUGAGCAUGCAACAGGAGGUUGCAGAGAGAGUCCCUACUCUUAGCAUCCCACCUGGCUGUAGAUCUUCUGCACCGAAGCUCCAUGUAACAGAAUUUGGUGCUUUCUUCCUGGGGAACCCCACUUUGGAGCCCAGAGGGGUCAUGUAAGACGUUUGGCUGCCCGGAAGCUACAGCUCUCCCAGUUUCUUGGUGUUUGAGUGUUCCCAGUUCAGGCAUCAGACAUGUGUACAAAGAAGACUUCAGGAUCAUUCCUGCCACAGUUACAGUUUACCUGCAAACAUGCAGAUACCCCAAGACAAACCCCUAGAUGA